rnacentral:rRNA from 1 species
GACGAACGCUGGCGGCGUGCCUAAUACAUGCAAGUAGAACGCUGAAGAGAGGAGCUUGCUCUUCUUGGAUGAGUUGCGAACGGGUGAGUAACGCGUAGGUAACCUGCCUUGUAGCGGGGGAUAACUAUUGGAAACGAUAGCUAAUACCGCAUAACAAUAGGUGACACAUGUCAUUUAUUUGAAAGGGGCAAUUGCUCCACUACAAGAUGGACCUGCGUUGUAUUAGCUAGUAGGUGAGGUAACGGCUCACCUAGGCGACGAUACAUAGCCGACCUGAGAGGGUGAUCGGCCACACUGGGACUGAGACACGGCCCAGACUCCUACGGGAGGCAGCAGUAGGGAAUCUUCGGCAAUGGGGGCAACCCUGACCGAGCAACGCCGCGUGAGUGAAGAAGGUUUUCGGAUCGUAAAGCUCUGUUGUAAGUCAAGAACGAGUGUGAGAGUGGAAAGUUCACACUGUGACGGUAGCUUACCAGAAAGGGACGGCUAACUACGUGCCAGCAGCCGCGGUAAUACGUAGGUCCCGAGCGUUGUCCGGAUUUAUUGGGCGUAAAGCGAGCGCAGGCGGUUUGAUAAGUCUGAAGUUAAAGGCUGUGGCUCAACCAUAGUUCGCUUUGGAAACUGUCAAACUUGAGUGCAGAAGGGGAGAGUGGAAUUCCAUGUGUAGCGGUGAAAUGCGUAGAUAUAUGGAGGAACACCGGUGGCGAAAGCGGCUCUCUGGUCUGUAACUGACGCUGAGGCUCGAAAGCGUGGGGAGCGAACAGGAUUAGAUACCCUGGUAGUCCACGCCGUAAACGAUGAGUGCUAGGUGUUGGAUCCUUUCCGGGAUUCAGUGCCGCAGCUAACGCAUUAAGCACUCCGCCUGGGGAGUACGACCGCAAGGUUGAAACUCAAAGGAAUUGACGGGGGCCCGCACAAGCGGUGGAGCAUGUGGUUUAAUUCGAAGCAACGCGAAGAACCUUACCAGGUCUUGACAUCCCGAUGCUAUUUCUAGAGAUAGAGAGUUACUUCGGUACAUCGGUGACAGGUGGUGCAUGGUUGUCGUCAGCUCGUGUCGUGAGAUGUUGGGUUAAGUCCCGCAACGAGCGCAACCCCUAUUGUUAGUUGCCAUCAUUCAGUUGGGCACUCUAGCGAGACUGCCGGUAAUAAACCGGAGGAAGGUGGGGAUGACGUCAAAUCAUCAUGCCCCUUAUGACCUGGGCUACACACGUGCUACAAUGGUUGGUACAACGAGUUGCGAGUCGGUGACGGCAAGCUAAUCUCUUAAAGCCAAUCUCAGUUCGGAUUGUAGGCUGCAACUCGCCUACAUGAAGUCGGAAUCGCUAGUAAUCGCGGAUCAGUACGCCGCGGUGAAUACGUUCCCGGGCCU